rnacentral:rRNA from 1 species
UGGGGAAUAUUGCACAAUGGGGGAAACCCUGAUGCAGCGACGCCGCGUGGGUGAAGAAGUAUUUCGGUAUGUAAAGCCCUAUCAGCAGGGAAGAAAAUGACGGUACCUGAUCCAAGAAGCCCCGGCUAACUACGUCGCC